AAGGAAAGAGGGAGGAAUGAUUUACACAUGCAAGUCGAACGGCAGCACGGGUGCUUGCACCUGGUGGCGAGUGGCGAACGGGUGAGUAAUACAUCGGCACAUGUCCUGUAGUGGGGGAAAGCCCGGCGAAAGCCGGAUUAAUACCGCAAACGAUCUACGGAUGAAAGCGGGGGACUUUCAGGCCUCGCGCUAUAGGGUUGGCCGAUGGCUGAUUAGCUAGUUGUUGGGGUAAAGGCCUACCAAGGCGACGACAAGUAGCUGGUCUGAGAGGAUGACCAGCCACACUGGGACUGAGACACGGCCCAGACUCCUACGGGAGGCAGCAGUGGGGAAUUUUGGACAAGGGGCGAAAGCCUGAUCCAGCAAUGCCGCGUGUGGGAAGAAGGCCUUCGGGUUGUAAAGCACUUUUGUCCGGAAAGAAAUCCUUGGCCCUAAUACGGUCGGGGGAUGACGGUACCGGAAGAAUAAGCACCGGCUAACUACGUG
rnacentral:rRNA from 1 species